UGGGGAAUUUUGGACAAUGGGCGAAAGCCUGAUCCAGCAAUGCCGCGUGUGUGAAGAAGGCCUUCGGGUUGUAAAGCACUUUUGUCCGGAAAGAAAUCCUUGGCUCUAAUACAGUCGGGGGAUGACGGUACCGGAAGAAUAAGCACCGGCUAACUACGUGCCAGCAGCCGCGGUAAUACGUAGGGUGCAAGCGUUAAUCGGAAUUACUGGGCGUAAAGCGUGCGCAGGCGGUUUGCUAAGACCGAUGUGAAAUCCCCGGGCUCAACCUGGGAACUGCAUUGGUGACUGGCAGGCUAGAGUAUGGCAGAGGGGGGUAGAAUUCCACGUGUAGCAGUGAAAUGCGUAGAGAUGUGGAGGAGUACCGAUGGCGAAGGCAGCCCCCUGGGCCAAUACUGACGCUCAUGCACGAAAGCGUGGGGAGCAAACAGGAUUAGAUACCCUGGUAGUCCACGCCCUAAACGAUGUCAACUAGUUGUUGGGGAUUCAUUUCCUUAGUAACGUAGCUAACGCGUGAAGUUGACCGCCUGGGGGAGUACGGUCGCAAGAUUAAAACUCAAAUGAAUUGACGGGGUCAUAGCUGUUU
rnacentral:rRNA from 1 species